GUGGGGAAUUUUGGACAAUGGGCGAAAGCCUGAUCCAGCAACGAUGCGUGGAGGAUGAAGGUUCUCGGAUUGUAAACUCCUUUUGAGAGGGAAGAAAAAAAUGACGGUACCUCUCGAAUAAGCCACGGCUAACUACGUGCCAGCAGCCGCGGUAAGACGUAGGUGGCAAGCGUUACUCGGAAUUACUAGGCGUAAAGCGCGCGUAGGCGGAAUGUUAAGUCUGUUGUGUAAUCUCCGGGCUCAACCCGGAAACUGCAACGGAAACUGGCGUUCUUGAGUGAGGCAGAGGAGAUCGGAAUUCCUAGUGUAGCAGUGAAAUGCGUAGAUAUUAGGAGGAACACCGGUGGCGAAGGCGGAUCUCUGGGCCUUUACUGACGCUCAAGUGCGAAAGCUAGGGGAGCAAACGGG
rnacentral:rRNA from 1 species